rnacentral:rRNA from 1 species
CCUACGGGUGGCAGCAGUGGGGAAUAUUGGACAAUGGGCGAAAGCCUGAUCCAGCCAUGCCGCGUGUGUGAAGAAGGCCUUCGGGUUGUAAAGCACUUUCAGUGGGGAAGAAAGCCUUGGGGCUAAUACCCUCGAGGAAGGACAUCACCCACAGAAGAAGCACCGGCUAACUCCGUGCCAGCAGCCGCGGUAAUACGGAGGGUGCGAGCGUUAAUCGGAAUUACUGGGCGUAAAGCGCGCGUAGGCGGUCUGAUAAGCCGGUUGUGAAAGCCCCGGGCUCAACCUGGGAACGGCAUCCGGAACUGUCAGGAUAGAGUGCAGGAGAGGAAGGUAGAAUUCCCGGUGUAGCGGGGAAAUGCGUAGAGAUCGGGAGGAAUACCAGUGGCGAAGGCGGCCUUCUGGACUGACACUGACGCUGAGGUGCGAAAGCGUGGGUAGCAAACAGGAUUAGAUACCCGGGUAGUC